UCUCUGGGUAGCCACAAAAGGCAGAUCCCUGAAAGGACAGGAGCUUUUUCCUCAUGGUUCCCUGCUGGCUCUUCGUGGCCACACUGGCUCCUGUGGUGUUGGCUCUGGAACAGUCUCCGGACACAGUGGUACAGCAAGGCCAGUCCGUGAAUCUGGGCUGUUUCAAGAUGAAAUCCUCCAGCACGGCUUUGUACUGGUACAAGCUGCCUUUAGGGAAGGAUUCCAGGCUGAUCUCUGUGGCUUCUGCAUUCGAAGGUGGUAAAUCAAAUGUUGAAGCGGAUUUCCAACAUGUCAAAAGCAGUGAAAUAAAAGAAGGCAGGAUGACCCUCUUGAUAGAGCAUGCCUUUCUCAAUGACUCUGGAAUCUAUUACUGUGCUGAGAGUGAAGCACAGUGGCCAGGCUGCUGAGGCAGCUGAGCGCAAACCGCCUCCUGCACAAAAGGGACCUGCUUUCCUCCCUGUCGGUGCUGCACAAGGCAGGAUGAUCCCUUUCUACUCAUUACCUCUUCUGCUUCCUAGC